rnacentral:rRNA from 1 species
GAUAAACGCUGGCGGCGUGCAUGAGACAUGCAAGUCGAACGAACGAGCUUGCUCGUUAGUGGCGGACGGCUGAGUAACGCGUAGGUGACCUACCCCGAAGUGGGGGAUAACUGCCCGAAAGGGUGGCUAAUACCGCAUGUGGCGACGCUUUCAUUGGCGUCAUCAAAGCCGCGAGGCGCUUCGGGAGGGGCCUGCGUCCGAUUAGCUCGUUGGUGGGGUAAUGGCUCACCAAGGCGACGAUCGGUAGGUGGUCUGAGAGGACGAUCACCCAGACUGGGACUGAGACACGGCCCAGACUCCUACGGGAGGCAGCAGUCGGGAAUUUUGCGCAAUGGACGAAAGUCUGACGCAGCAACGCCGCGUGCGGGAUGAAGGCCUUCGGGUUGUAAACCGCUUUUACCAGGGACGAUAAUGACGGUACCAGAUGAAUAAGCACCGGCUAACUCCGUGCCAGCAGCCGCAGUAACAC